AAAGAAAAACGAAAAACAAAAAAGAAAAAAAAACAGGGGGAUCGCUCCUGCAAGCCCUAGCCGCCACAUCUCCUGCGUCCUACCACCGCCGCCGCUGUUCCUGUCUCCGCCGGCGCCGCCGCCGCCGCCGGUUCAGCCGUCGUCGUCCUUCGCCACCCCAUCCGCUCGUCUCCUUGCGUGGCUUGCUGCUUGACGCUGCUGCAUCGAUCAGAGACGAGAAGGCUCCAGACAGCACAGGAAGCAGUUGAACAGGAGUAACAAGGGAAGGAAAAGGUAUGAAGGGUUCCAACGUUGAAGGAGUUGAGUCGGAGUAUCGAAGGAGUUAAAGCAAGUACAAGACGGACUUGUGCGAUGGAUAAACUGUGUUGCUUUGUUGGUUUUAUUUACCCAAUUAUUAUUCGAAGCUUCCUAUUAUCAAUUGUGUGGUUUUGGUAUUAUGUUACAUAUUCAUAUUUCACUUCAUGUUCAAGUUCACGACGUUAUUCAUGUUUCUUUCUUCCGGAAGUUUCUGUUUACGUUAUUCAAGUACCAUGCGUAGUUAUGGGAGUGCAAUUUGGAUCUUUAUUCAUGAUCCUUAAGAAGCGCUGAUCACGCUUGCUCGGCUUACCGGUAAUGCUAAGAGGAUAUUCACACCUGCUCGGGAGGGAACUACUAUUUUUUGUCUCCUUCGUUUUAAAUUAAUGGAAAGCAAAUGCUUCAUAUUGGUUUCUUAUUGCACUAAACCUGCGUAUGUUUUACUAGUUCAAUAUUGUACUUACUGAGUAUUCUUUACUCACUCUUGUGUUUAAUUUGGUUUUUAGGUACCUAAUGACAUUGAUCGGCAUGGGGCGGGAGUAGCACCCUUGGACUACACAUUAUUAUUGCACACUAUUGGAAUUUAGUUUUAGAUUAUGUUUCUGCUUAGCAUAAGUUUUGCGUAGAACUUGUAACGGUCAUUUAAAGUUCCGGUCCUUAUUUUCACGUGGAAUUUGAGGAGCUAGGAUGGUUUGGAUUGUGUGGAUUAUAUCGUUAUUGAGUUAUCUUAUAACUGACUGUCGUGGAUGUCCGUAAUUUUAGGAGGAGACUGCCGAAAUUUCUAAUAAUUUUCGGAGUUAAGUGGUU